UACGGAGGAUGCGAGCGUUAUCCGGAUUUAUUGGGUUUAAAGGGUGCGUAGGCGGGAUGCCAAGUCAGCGGUAAAAAUGCGGUCCUCAACGCCGUCGAGCCGUUGAAACUGGCGUUCUUGAGUGGGCGAGAAGUAUGCGGAAUGCGUGGUGUAGCGGUGAAAUGCAUAGAUAUCACGCAGAACUCCGAUUGCGAAGGCAGCAUACCGGCGCCCUACUGACGCUGAGGCACGAAAGCGUGGGUAUCGAACAGG
rnacentral:rRNA from 1 species